UACAUGUGGGGCAAGCGUUGUUCGGAAUUACUGGGCAUAAAGGGCGCGUAGGUGGCGGGAUAAGCGUGUGGUGAAAGCCCGGGGCUCAACCCCGUGUCUGCCAUGCGGACUGUCUUGCUCGAGCGUAGUAGAGGCAGGUGGAAUUCCGGGUGUAGCGGUGGAAUGCGUAGAGAUCAGGAAGAACACCCGUGGCGAAGGCGGCCCACUGGGCCGGUGCUGACGCUGAGGCGCGAAGGCGUGGGGAGCGAACGGG
rnacentral:rRNA from 1 species